AAAGAAGAAAAGUGGGGGGCUCAAGGAAGAAAUUAAUUAAAGUGAUGAGAAUCAUUUGGUAAACAUAAUUUGAGAAGUAAAGAAUAUUAAUUCAGUGGUGUGAAAUGAUUACAAAUUGACCUUGGAAGAGUCCUUCGAAAUCUCUUCUGAUGUCAUCUGAAAUACAAAACUCUAACUUUAAAGGCUCAAACUGAAGUGAGAGGCAACCUAUCUUUCUCCAGCAACACACAAAACUCUCUGGGAGGGAAAUCCAGGACUCUUCACUCCUACUGAGUUCAGUGCUCCAUGCACUGCACAACAAUGAGUAGGCAAAAAAGGGUAGAUUUGGAAGGCCUCCAUUUUUUCCUACGUAUAUCAUCUAAUGCUUUAAUCUGCAGGACUAUAAAGAAAUGCGCAAAAGAAAAUUUUGGAAAAAUUUUCAGAAAAUAUGCAAGUAUCUGAGCAGGAAGAAGGAAGCAAAAGAAGAACUUAUUGUGGAAAAGAUGAACAGGAAAAUCAAUAAAAUCUAUAAGAGACUAAAGGAGAUAGAAACGACCCAGGAACAUCAAAUGAUGGAGAAGAAGAAGGCCUGGGAGCACAUGAUGUCUAACCUGGGAAGAUUCCUAACAGACCUAAUUACUGAGCUGCAAAAAGUGAUGAAGAAACCAGAUAUAGAAAUGCUACAGGUUGUGAAAGAAACCUUAGAAAGGAGUGAUGUUUGGCUAGACUUGGAACCUUUCACACCAAAUCUGGAAACUUCUUAUGUCAAGAUUGUGAUCCAGUUUUUGAAACUCUUGCAAAGACAUAAUCUAUUGGAGAGCUGCAAAGACUACAAAUUGUCUGGGGAGAAAAAGAGGACAAUCAAAAUCGUUCCUGAUGACUUUGGCAUGGUAUAUCCUAUUUAUGUAUUUGGAAGUCUUCACGUCAAAGACACCACAAGAAGAUUUAUAAUGAUGACUUAGUCUCAGGAUAAACUGUCGAAGAGGAAAAAGGAUAUACAAGAACUAUCACGACUUUCCGGAGAACCAUAUAGAGGGAAAAACAUCAUCUACCAAGUCUUUUUGCUUCCAGUAGAAAUGCUGCUUGAACAAUGCACAAAGGUUGAAGUGAUUCUGGAUGAUAUUGAAUUUGGUGUAUUUAAUAAACUCUAUAUGUUGUCC
rnacentral:lncRNA from 1 species